CCACACUGUGACCUUCUGUUACUAUUACAACAGAUGGUUCCCAGUGAGCACAAGGUGAUAUACUUCCUCUGUCCACGUGGGCCCAGGUAACCAGUCCAGACCCCACACCUUGUUCCCAUUUUAAGGAUGAGCAAACUGAGGCUCUGAAAAGCCCCACACCAGCAUGCAGCGUGGACCAAAGGCACAGGAGGCAGGAGCCAGAGCCUCUCGGCAGGUGGUGCACAGUGGGAAGAAUUCAGAGCUCUCCAUGGCCCACCUCUAUGUUUUGCCUUGUAAAUGAUGAUGACAUCUUCUCUAAAGACUUUCCCUCUUGGGAGAAUAUCGUCAAUGCUGACACUGACAUGAAUUUGUCUGAUGGUGAGGGCGGUAGGGGCACACAGCCAAGUUCCUGGAGAGCAGGGGCAGCACAGGACACAUCUCUCUACCCACAGCGCUCACCACAGAGGCUCUGCCACAUUCAUAAGGAGGGAGAGAAGAGGGGAUGGGCCAAUCCUUUGCCCAAGAUCAAGUCUUUAGGGCUCAGGUUCAUUCGGAAGUUAGGGUAAGAGGUGAACUUCAGACCAGUACUCGAUUGGAGACUAGAAAUGAGAAUAGGGUUUAAGAUUCAUAUUAAGGAAGGGAUGAUGAUUCGAGCUGUACUUCAGAUUGAUAUGGAUUCAAGUCUAGAUUCUGGUGAGAGUUCUGUUUAAGGUGGACUCUAGGGACUAGGUUAUUGUUAGCCCUAAGGCUCAAGCUAAAAUGCAUCUUAGCAUUAGGUGUGUCUGAAAAUCCUGGGGCUUGCAGCAAGGUUCAGUGCUGUGGGCUGGGGCAGAAGCUCUGCAGGUGACAGGCCUGACAGCCAGCUGGAGAGGUAGGUGUGGCCAGGCAGCCAGGGCCAGAUAGGCUCUGAGGCCAGCACCGUGGACAGCUCCAAGGGAAGCACCUUAGUAAGCCAAGAAGCCACUGAGAUGUUCCCAGCUGCCAACACUGACCCCGGGAAGACCAAGAUGGCACCAUAUCCUCCAGGGAGUUGGGGGUCUUGGCCAGACAAUCUCCUCUUUCCCUUCAAUAUUGCCAGAUGCCAUGUCACAAGAAGAGGUGCUACGGAGCAGCGACAGGCUGAAGGAAAUCAGAUACUGCCCACACUCAGCCCCAUGUCCUGCAGGUCAUAGAUAGGCAGGACUUCCAAAGCAUACCAACCCAGCCCCUCAGAAUAGGGGACAAGGUCACCAAUGUGAACUGACCACCUACUUUGUGCCAGACCUAGUCAACAUUAUCUCAUUGCAUCAUAAAACCAGCCCGAGUGUAGUAGG
rnacentral:lncRNA from 1 species